AGAACCACACCUCCCUGUUCCAUCACACUGACUGAGGAGCUCAGAGGUCCAAACCCUGUUCAUACUCGGACAUGCCAGCUGACUGCAGGAGGGCAGGUUCAGACUUCUGUCUCCCACACCAUCAGAGUGAAAGGUGUCAAAUCCACAACUUCCUCUCCCUCUGUAUUGGAAUCCUCUCCCCGAAUGAAAACUGUCUCCACUGCUUCCUCAACCUCAACCUCAGGCCCAUCAGAGAUCGCCAUCAGACUCCCCAUCUUCUUCAUAGUGCUGAUUCUGCCUGGGCUCAUUGCAACUGUUCAUUUAGUGAGACAUUGUUUAAUCACACAGGUGUCAAAUCCACAACUUCCUCUUCCUCUUCCU